GUCCUUUUGAUUUUAAUAAAAGGUCUAGCCUGCUCAAUGAAGUUAAAUAGCCGCGGUAUUUUGACCGUGCGAAGGUAGCAUAAUAAAUAGUCUAUUAAAUGUGGUCUGGAAUGAAGGGUUGAACGGAGGGUAGCUUUUUUAAUUUUAAUAAUGAAUUUAAAUAAUUAGUAAAAAUGCUAAUAUGAAUUAGAGGGACGAGAAGACCCUAUAGAGUUUUAUAUUUGUCUUUGUUUAUGUGGAAUUGUGCAGAAGAUAAUAUUUUGUUGGGGCGACAUAUAAUGUAAACAUUAUAAGGAUAUUCUGUGUAAUAGGUUGAAGAUCCAUUAUUAAUGAUUAAUAGAUUAAGUUACCUUAGGGAUAACAGCGUAAUUUUAUUAUAGAGUUCUUAUCGAUAAUGAAGUUUGCGACCUCGAUGUUGGAUUAGAAUUCCCUUAAGGCGUAGGAGUUUUAUGGGGUAGUCUGUUCGACUAUUAAAAUUCUACA
rnacentral:rRNA from 1 species